rnacentral:rRNA from 1 species
AAAUAGAUACCCGGGUAGUCCAUGCCGUAAACGUUGGGAACUAGAUGUGGGGACCAUUCCACGGUCUCCGUGUCGCAGCUAACGCAUUAAGUUCCCCGCCUGGGGAGUACGGCCGCAAGGCUAAAACUCAAAGGAAUUGACGGGGGCCCGCACAAGCGGCGGAGCAUGCGGAUUAAUUCGAUGCAACGCGAAGAACCUUACCAAGGCUUGACAUAUACCGGAAACGUCUGGAAACAGUCGCCCCGCAAGGUCGGUAUACAGGUGGUGCAUGGUUGUCGUCAGCUCGUGUCGUGAGAUGUUGGGUUAAGUCCCGCAACGAGCGCAACCCUCGUUCUAUGUUGCCAGCACGUGAUGGUGGGGACUCAUAGGAGACUGCCGGGGUCAACUCGGAGGAAGGUGGGGAUGAGGUCAAAUCAUCAUGCCCCUUAUGUCUUGGGCUUCACGCAUGCUACAAUGGCCGGUACAAAGGGCAGCAAUACCGUGAGGUGGAGCGAAUCCCAAAAAGCCGGUCUCAGUUCGGAUUGAGGUCUGCAACUCGACCCC